rnacentral:tRNA from 1 species
GUCCUCGUGGUGUAACGGUAGCACACUCGGCGCGUAUUCGAGAGGUCCAGGUUCGAGUCCCGGAAAGGACA